GGGACAGCCUCGGGAAACCGUGGGUAAUACCGGAUACUCCGGGACGGCCGCAUGGCCGGCCCGGGAAAGCCCAGACGGGAGGGGAUGGGCCCGCGGCCUGUUAGCUAGUCGGCGGGGUAACGGCCCACCGAGGCGAUUAUGGGUAGCCGGGUUGAGAGACCGACCGGCCAGAUUGGGACUGAGACACGGCCCAGACUCCUACGGGAGGCAGCAGUGGGGAAUCUUGCGCAAUGGGCGGAAGCCUGACGCAGCGACGCCGCGUGCGGGACGAAGGCCUUCGGGUCGUAAACCGCUUUCAGCAGGGACGAGGCCCUCACGGUGACGGUACCUGCAGAAGAAGCCCCGGCUAACUACGUGCCAGCAGCCGCGGUAAUACGUAGGGGGCGAGCGUUAUCCGGAUUCAUUGGGCGUAAAGCGCGCGUAGGCGGCCUGUUAGGUCGGGGGUCAAAUACCGGGGCUCAACCCCGGUCCGCCCCCGAUACCGGCAGGCUUGAGUCUGGUAGGGGAAGGCGGAAUUCCCAGUGUAGCGGUGGAAUGCGCAGAUAUUGGGAAGAACACCGGCGGCGAAGGCGGCCUUCUGGGCCACGACUGACGCUGAGGCGCGAAAGCUAGGGGAGCGAACAGGAUUAGAUACCCUGGUAGUCCUAGCCGUAAAC
rnacentral:rRNA from 1 species